UACGUAGGGGGCAAGCGUUGUCCGGAUUUAUUGGGCGUAAAGAGCGUGUAGGCGGCUUUACAGGUCCGUUGUGAAAACUCGAGGCUCAACCUCGAGACGCCGGUGGAAACCGUAAGGCUAGAGUCCGGAAGAGGAGAGUGGAAUUCCUGGUGUAGCGGUGAAAUGCGCAGAUAUCAGGAAGAACACCAAUGGCGAAGGCAGCUCUCUGGGACGGUACUGACGCUGAGACGCGAAAGCGUGGGGAGCGAACAGG
rnacentral:rRNA from 1 species